rnacentral:rRNA from 1 species
UUCGCAAUGCCCGAAAGGGUGACGAAGCGACGCCGCGUGUGGGAAGAAGGCCUUCGGGUUGUAAACCGCUGUUGGGAGUUAGGAAGUGUGGGAGUGUUAAUAGCGCUUCCACUUGACUAAAGUUCCAGAGGAAGCCACGGCUAACUCUGUGCCAGCAGCCGCGGUAAUACAGAGGCGGCAAGCGUUGUUCGGAAUUAUUGGGCGUAAAGAGCACGUAGGCGGCUCUGCAAGUCAGCUGUGAAAGCCUUCCGCUCAACGGAAGAACAGCAUCCGAUACUACAUGGCUUGAGUGCGGGAGGGGAGAGUGGAACUUCUGGUGGAGCGGUGAAAUGCGUAGAUAUCAGAAGGAACGCCGGCGGCGAAAGCGGCUCUCUGGCCCAUAACUGACGCUGAGUGUGCGAAAGCUAGGGGAGCAAACGGGAUUAGAUACCCCGGUAGUCCUAGCCGUAAACGAUGGGCACUAAGUAGAGGGGUUUU